rnacentral:rRNA from 1 species
UACGAAGGGGGCUAGCGUUGUUCGGAUUUACUGGGCGUAAAGGGCGCGUAGGCGGAUUUUUAAGUCGGGGGUGAAAUCCUGGAGCUCAACUCCAGAACUGCCUUCGAUACUGGAGAGCUUGAGUCCGGGAGAGGUGAGUGGAACUGCGAGUGUAGAGGUGAAAUUCGUAGAUAUUCGCAAGAACACCAGUGGCGAAGGCGGACUCACUGGCCCGGUACUGACGCUGAGGUGCGAAAGCGUGGGGAG